CGGAGGUACUCGAGUGGCGAACGGGUGAGUAACACGUGGGUGAUCUGCCCUGCACUCUGGGAUAAGCCUGGGAAACUGGGUCUAAUACCGGAUAGGACCAUGCUUUAGUGUGUGUGGUGGAAAGUUUUUUCGGUGUAGGAUGAGCCCGCGGCCUAUCAGCUUGUUGGUGGGGUAAUGGCCUACCAAGGCGGCGACGGGUAGCCGGACUGAGAGGUUGGUCGGCCACAUUGGGACUGAGAUACGGCCCAG
rnacentral:rRNA from 1 species